rnacentral:rRNA from 1 species
AUCGAACGCUGGCGGCAGGCUUAACACAUGCAAGUCGAGCGAGCGGCGGACGGGUGAGUAAUGUCUGGGAAACUGCCUGAUGGAGGGGGAUAAUUACUGGAAACGGUAGCUAACACCGCAUACCAUCAGACGUGCCCAGAUGGGCUUAGCUAGUGGGUGGGGUAAUGGCUCACCUAGGCGACGACCCCUAGCUGGUCUGAGAGGGUGACCAGCCACACUGGGACUGAGCCACGGUCCAGACUCCUACGGGAGGCAGCAGUGGGGAAUAUUGCACAAUGGGCGCAAGCCUGAUACAGCCAUGCCGCGUGUGUGAAGAAGGCCUUCGGGUUGUAAAGCACUUUCAGCGAGGAGGCGUUACUCGCAGAAGAAGCACCGGCUAACUCCGUGCCAGCAGCCGCGGUAAUUC